GCCCAGUAGUUUCAGAGCAAAGCUUUUUAGUACUACCGACAAUCAAGACGGAUGAUGAGGAGGAUAGCUCAUUUGACAAUUUUGGGUAGGUGAGUUGCAUCAAUAUUAUACUCUCACAAUAAAAUGGUGUUACCAAGGAAGAAACUACAACAAACUGAAUUAACUGCAACAUAAUCUUAAGGACUGAAAAUAUUUCUAUAUCUCG
rnacentral:lncRNA from 1 species